rnacentral:rRNA from 1 species
UCCUACGGGAGGCAGCAGUGGGGAAUUUUCCGCAAUGGGCGAAAGCCUGACGGAGCAAUACCGCGUGAGGGAUGACGGCCUAUGGGUUGUAAACCUCUUUUUUCAAGGAGGAAUUCAUGACGUGUACUUGAAGAAUAAGCAUCGGCUAACUCCGUGCCAGCAGCCGCGGUAAGACGGAGGAUGCAAGUGUUAUCCGGAAUCACUGGGCGUAAAGCGUCUGUAGGUGGUUUAGUAAGUCAACUGUUAAAUCUUGAGGCUUAACCUCAAAACUGCAGUCGAAACUACUAGACUAGAGUAUAGUAGGGGUAAAGGGAAUUUCCAGUGGAGCGGUGAAAUGCGUAGAUAUUGGAAAGAACACCGAUGGCGAAGGCACUUUACUGGGCUAUGACUAACACUGAGAGACGAAAGCUAGGGUAGCAAAUGGGAUUAGAUACCCCAGUAGUCCUAGCUGUAAACAAUGGAUACUAGAUGUUGAACAGAUUUUCUGUGCAGUAUCAAAGCUAACGCGUUAAGUAUCCCGCCUGGGAAGUAUGCUCGCAAGAGUGAAACUCAAAUGAAUUGACGGA